rnacentral:pre_miRNA from 14 species
GGCUGGGGAGCAUUCCAAGUUCUGUGGUACUAUACCUCAGUUUUAUCAGGUGUUCAUUCAAAUCACCUGAAAACACUGAGGCUGCGUCCCACUGAACAUCAGCUUCCUGGACUCUGU